rnacentral:piRNA from 1 species
UCAUGAGUUUCAUAAAAUUUACUAUGGU